GACGAACGCUGGCGGCGUGCUUAACACAUGCAAGUCGAACGAUGAGGCCGGAGCUUGCUCUGGUGAAUUAGUGGCGAACGGGUGAGUAACACGUGAGUAACCUGCCCUUGACUCUGGGAUAACUGCGGGAAACUGUAGCUAAUACCGGAUACGACCCUCGGAGGCAUCUCCUGGGGGUGGAAAGAAUUUCGGUCAAGGAUGGACUCGCGGCCUAUCAGCUAGUUGGUGAGGUAAAGGCUCACCAAGGCGAAGACGGGUAGCCGGCCUGAGAGGGUGACCGGCACAACUGGGACUGAGACACGGCCCAGACUCCUACGGUAGGCAGCAGUGGGGAAUAUUGCACAAUGGGCGCAAGCCGGAUGCAGCAACGCCGCGUGAGGGAUGACGGCCUUCGGGUUGUAAACCUCUUUUAGCAGGGAAGAAGCGAAAGUGACGGUACCUGCAGAAAAAGCACCGGCUGACUACGUGCCAGCCGCCGCCGUAA
rnacentral:rRNA from 1 species